AGGACGAACGCUGGCGGCGUGCUUAACACAUGCAAGUCGAGCGGAAAGGCCCUUCGGGGUACUCGAGCGGCGAACGGGUGAGUAACACGUGAGUAACCUGCCCCUAGCUCUGGGAUAGCUCCGGGAAACCGGGAUUAAAUACCAGAUACGACCACUUUAGACAUCUGUCGUGGUGGAAAGGAUUCCGGCUAGGGAUGGGCUCGCGGCCUAUCAGCUUGUUGGUGGGGUAACGCCUACCAAGGCGACGACGGUAG
rnacentral:rRNA from 1 species